rnacentral:rRNA from 1 species
UACGUAGGGGGCAAGCGUUAUCCGGAUUUACUGGGUGUAAAGGGAGCGUAGACGGCUUUGCAAGCCAGAUGUGAAAGCCCGGGGCUCAACCCCGGGACUGCAUUUGGAACUGUGUGGCUAGGGUGUCGGAGAGGCAGGCGGAAUUCCUAGUGUAGCGGUGAAAUGCGUAGAUAUACGGAGGAACACCAGUGGCGAAGGCGGAUUGCUGGACAGUAACUGACGCUGAGGCGCGAAAGCGUGGGGAGCAAACAGG